GAUGAACGCUGGCGGUAUGCCUAACACAUGCAAGUCGAACGAAGCCUUUCGGGGCUUAGUGGCGGACGGGUGAGUAACGCGUGAGAAUCUGCCAAUUGGAUGGGGAUAACAGGGAGAAAUCGCUGCUAAAACCCAAUGUGCACCUUAGGGUGUGAAAUAUUUAUAGCCAAUUGAGGAGCUCGCGUCCGAUUAGUUAGUUGGUGAGGUAAAGGCUUACCAAGGCAGCGAUCGGUAGCUGGUCUGAGAGGAUGAGCAGCCACACUGGGACUGAGACACGGCCCAGACUCCUACGGGAGGCAGCAGUGGGGAAUUUUCCGCAAUGGGCGCAAGCCUGACGGAGCAAUACCGCGUGAGGGAGGAAGGCUUUUGGGUUGUAAACCUCUUUUGUUAAGGAAGAAGAAAGUGACGGUACUUAACGAAUCAGCAUCGGCUAACUCCGUGCCAGCCGCCGCGGUAAU
rnacentral:rRNA from 1 species